rnacentral:rRNA from 1 species
GGAAUAUUGGUCAAUGGGCGUAAGCCUGAACCAGCCAAGUAGCGUGCGGGACGACGGCCCUAUGGGUUGUAAACCGCUUUUGCAGGGGAAUAAAGUGUGGGACGUGUCCCAUUUUGCAUGUACCCUGAGAAUAAGGACCGGCUAAUUCCGUGCCAGCAGCCGCGGUAAGACGGAAGGUCCGGGCGUUAUCCGGAUUUAUUGGGUUUAAAGGGAGCGCAGGCCGUUGAUUAAGCGUGACGUGAAAUGCCGCGGCUCAACCGUGGAAGUGCGUCGCGAACUGGUUGACUUGAGUGCGUGCGACGCCGGCGGAAUUCGUGGUGUAGCGGUGAAAUGCUUAGAUAUCACGAAGAACCCCGAUUGCGAAGGCAGCCGGCGAGUCCGUAACUGACGCUAAAGCUCGAAGGUGCGGGUAUCGAACA